CUGUAAGAGGGGAAUAACCCGGAGAAAUUCGGACUAAUACCGCAUAAUACUUAGAAUCCGCAUGGAUUUUUAAGUUAAACAUUUAUGGCUUACAGAAUCGGGCAUGCGUAUGAUUAGCUGGUUGGAGAGGUAACGGCUCCCCAAGGCAACGAUCAUUAGGGGUUCUGAGAGGAAGGUCCCCCACACUGGUACUGAGACACGGACCAGACUCCUACGGGAGGCAGCAGUGAGGAGUAUUGGUCAAUGGACGCAAGUCUGAACCAAGCCAAGUCGCGUGAAGGAAGAAUGUCCUAUGGAUUGUAAACUUCUUUUGAAGGGGAAUAAAGUACGGUACGUGUACCGUUUUGUAUGUACCCUUCGAAUAAGGAUCGGCUAACUCCGUGCCAGCCGCCGC
rnacentral:rRNA from 1 species